CGUUAGCGGCGGACGGGUGAGUAACACGUGGGUAACCUACCUAUAAGACUGGGAUAACUUCGGGAAACCGGAGCUAAUACCGGAUAAUAUUUCGAACCGCAUGGUUCGAUAGUGAAAGAUGGUUUUGCUAUCACUUAUAGAUGGACCCGCGCCGUAUUAGCUAGUUGGCAAGGUAACGGCUUACCAAGGCGACGAUACGUAGCCGACCUGAGAGGGUGAUCGGCCACACUGGAACUGAGACACGGUCCAGACUCCUACGGGAGGCAGCAGCG
rnacentral:rRNA from 1 species